rnacentral:rRNA from 1 species
UACGAAGGGGGCUAGCGUUGUUCGGAAUUACUGGGUGUAAAGAGCGCGUAGGCGGUUUUGUAAGUUAGACGUGAAAGCCCUGGGCUUAACCUGGGAAAUGCGUUUAAAACUACAAGGCUAGAGUAUGGGAGAGGAUAGUGGAAUUCCGAGUGUAGAGGUGAAAUUCGUAGAUAUUCGGAGGAACAUCAGAAGCGAAGGCGACUAUCUGGACCAUUACUGACGCUGAGGUGCGAAAGCGUGGGGAUCAAACAGG